AUGCUUCAGUUUUAUUCACAUAAUGGGAAAUUUUUACAAAGAUGCUUUAAAGAGAACGUGGACCUUCAAUGCAAGAACAACAAAAAACUGUGUUCUCAGGUGAGGAAACUUAAUUCAUACAGAGCUCAUUUCCUGAAAGUGAAAUGUCCUUUUUUAUUAUUUUUUUCUAUUGUGUCGUUUCAAACUCAGGGCCAUAAACACCAUGAAUGAUGUGUGAAGGAUAUUUAAGAGCUUCGGUGGGGGAGAACAUUUUCAGUGAAGAACUAUUCAAACUGUGUCUGUUCCUCACACAGCACACCAGUCAUAUGGACUACUUACAAGAUUUUAAUGUUUUGGAGCUUGACAGGUUCCCUUUCACUUUAAUUAUAUGCAUUGAAAACAACGCAGUGUGAAGAUCCUACUUAAAUUUUCCUUUUGUGUUGUACAGAAGAAAUAAUGUCAUAUGAGUUUGGAUCGAAGUGAGUAUGUGAAUAAAUGAUGACCAAAUUUUGUGGGAACUAAGCCUUUAAUACUCUGAAUACUUUGAAAUUUGCUGCAUUCAGCUGCUUAACAAGAAAAAUAUGUUGGAAAUGUAUGGUUAGAAAGGACAGUUACACACACAAAAUUGUUUAAUUCAGACCACAAACGAAACAAGCCAUUAUAGAUUUUUAUUCCAGGAUAACUGCCAAUUUCACACAAUAAGCAUGAGCUACCUACACUGAAACCUAAGCAGUAACCACUUUACAGUGAAAAAAGCUAUGACAUUUUUUAUUAUUAUUGAUUUCAUUCCACUGCAUGCAUCUUAUAGUUCCAUCACUGAAGUAACAUAACAGAGGAGAAAAGGUUUUUGUUAUCCAAACAUGAAGUUUUUCAAUCCUUGCCACAGUUGCCCUCACACUACGGGACUAAAGAUAUUAAGUAGUAUAUAUAGUUUAUAAGUAUUAUGCCAUAAUUUUCAGUUAAACUGCUUACAGCAGUGACACACUUCACCAAAUAAUGAUACGCCUUGUCACUGCACCAAAUUGUUAUAAAUUGACCAAACCUCACAGGUUACAUGCUUCUCAAUAUUGACACAUAAUUAAUUAAUAAAUUGAAUGAAUGAAUGAACAAAUUAAUAAAUAAUAAUGAAUUUUAUAAUUAAUAUAAGUAUACCGAACUUUACUCAGAUAUAUACAGUAUACUCCUGUUAAGCAGUACAUAGCAAAUCGCAGCUGCUUGAUUGCUUGUAAAACAUAAACUAUAAAACACAGCUUUAGUCUGCUAAAUGUGAUUAUAAGGCAUGAAGGUAUGAUAUUAAUAAAUCAUAAACACUGAAAUCAUGAUUUUCUAUAAAGCUUCUUUAGAAUAAAGUUUAUUGUGAAAGGUGCGGUACAAAUAAACUCGACCAUUAUCUACCAUUUUAAAGACUAUCUUCUGAUGUCUUUUUCUGUUUAUUACACGCAGCUGGUGUAGACUCUGUUAAAAUGGAAUGAUUGAAUAGUUGUUAUAAGUAACAAUUGUUAAAAUUUAUACAAUAACUUGAGAUAAUUAUAUAAUAUUACACAACACAUGCACUAACAGCACAUUACUUGAGAGAGCAUUAAGUUCAUUUAGUGCAGCAUCAAUGUCAGUUCCUGUCCAUGAAACAAUAAUACAGAAAACAAAAAUUAUGUCACACUCCUCCACGGUGAGCACCUUUAGACCUGAUAUUUGUUGAAAGAUAUUUGUUAUGAUCUCCUCUUUAGGCUUGAAUGUCUUCCCAGUUGAAAGGAUGAAAUAUUUUUUUUUCCUUCAAGAAGAAAAAAACUAUUGGUUAAUGUAAUAUAACUUAAUUUAUAUAUGUCAUAGUCAUCUCAUCCUAAAAGUCUUAAUUUUUUAUAUAUUUCCCCCAAUCUAAUUAGAAACAGAGUCUUUAGAAAAAAGCACAGAAGCUCUGCAGUUAUCAUUACCAGUAAUCUAUGGACGUUGGUCUUUUGGUUCUUCGGUGGAGUUCACAUCAGUCUUAGUUUUAUGAUCCAUUUCAAGUUUAGUUCUGAAAUUGUCACAACACAGUACACACAUCAUGAUUGCUCUAAACAUGUUAUGGUUAGUGUUUGUUAGCUAGCCUAUAUAUCGCAACGUUUUAUAUUUUCAUAGUCUGGGUCUUGGACAAGGUAAAAACAUUAAAAUAUACUCAAAAAUUAUUCAUGUGAUUCAUUAACGCGACAUCAUUGAAGAUUACUAGCAUCUGUUCAUGAAAAAAUGUCCACUAGAUAAUGCUACACUAUAAUGAAAUGUUGCCUUUUUAACAGUCCCAAUAUCAGCAAAGACAAAAUACAAGCGCUUAUGUAAAGCAAAAUUACAUUGUUGCGUUUGUAUAAACCUAUAAGGCAUUCAGAUAUUUACAUGAAAAUGUGUUAAAAAAAAUUAAAGGGGUCAUAUGAUGCAAUUUAAAUUUUUCCUUUCUCUUUGGAGUGUUACAAGUUCUUAGUGCAUAAAGAAGAUCUGUAAAGUUGCAAAGACUAAAGUCUCAAAUCCAAAGAGAUAUUCUUUAUCAAAGUUAAGACUAUGCCACGGCCCCCUAAAAUGGCUCAUUCAAACACGCCCCCACAUCUCUACGUCACUAUGUGCUACACAAUAUUUGCGUAAUGCCCCCCAAAUGUUCAUAUAAAGAAAGAAGGCGUGGUUUCAGUAACCGAAGUUAGUGUUGAUGCAGCCAUGUCAGGAAGAUGCUGUGUUUCUAGGCAAAAGCAAAAGCACUUUAUUUGGCCUUCUGAAAGUAGAUGCAUUUAGGAAUUUUUAAGAUUACUUACAACAGAACAGCAACGCAUUUUAUGGACAAUGUUUUCGUGAACUAGGUUUCGUGAAACUAGGAGAGGAGGUAAUUCUGAUUUUGCUAUGACAAUCUGGCGCUUCUGAAUCAGCUACGUUACUGUAAGUAUGUUUGUUAUUAAUUU
rnacentral:lncRNA from 1 species